rnacentral:rRNA from 1 species
GACGAACGCUGGCGGCGUGCCUAACACAUGCAAGUCGAACGGUCCGGCACUCAACCGACCCUCAGUCUAACUGUAGGGGAAGUUGAGUGCCGGGUAGUGGCGGACGGGUGAGUAACGCGUGGGCAACCAACCCUGUACAGUGGGAUAACACCGGGAAACCGGUGCUAAUACCGCAUGACACCUAUAUGGUGCAUACCGUAUAGGUUAAAGGAUUUAACCGGUACAGGACGGGCCCGCGUCCCAUUAGCUAGUUGGUGAGGUAACGGCCCACCAAGGCGACGAUGGGUAGCCGACCUGAGAGGGUGACCGGCCACACUGGGACUGAGACACGGCCCAGACUCCUACGGGAGGCAGCAGUGGGGAAUAUUGCGCAAUGGGGGGAACCCUGACGCAGCGACGCCGCGUGAGCGACGAAGGCCUUCGGUCGUAAAGCUCUGUUCUUGGGGACGAAGGAAAUGACGGUACCCAAGGAGAAAGCCCGGCUAACUACGUG